AUUGAACGCAGGCGGCAGGCCUAACACAUGCCAGUCGAGCGAGCGGCGGACGGGUGAGUAAUGUAUGGGGAUCUGCCCGAUAGAGAGGGCUAACUACUGGAAACUGUGGCUAAUACCGCAUUCUAUCUGAUGAACCCAUAUGGGAUUAGCUAGUAGGUUGGGUAAAGGCUCACCUAGGCGACGAUCUCUAGCUGGUCUGAGAGGAUGAUCAGCCACACUGGGACGGAGACACGGCCCAGACUCCUACGGGAGGCAGCAGUGGGGGAUAUUGCACAAUGGGCGCAAGCCUGAUGCAGCCAUGCCGCGUGUAUGAAGAAGGCCUUAGGGUUGUAAAGUACUUUCAGCGGGGAGGCGUUACCCGCAGAAGAAGCACCGGCUAACUCCGUGCCAGCAGCCGCGGUAAUAC
rnacentral:rRNA from 1 species